rnacentral:rRNA from 1 species
CCCGCGUGAGGGAUGACGGCCUUCGGGUUGUAAACCUCUUUCAGUAGGGAACAAGGCCAGGCAUUGUCUGGUUGAGGGUACUUGCAGAAGAAGCGCCGGCUAACUACGUGCCAGCAGCCGCGGUAAUACGUAGGGCGCAAGCGUUAUCCGGAAUUAUUGGGCGUAAAGAGCUCGUAGGCGGUUUGUCGCGUCUGCCGUGAAAGUCCGGGGCUCAACCCCGGAUCUGCGGUGGGUACGGGCAGACUAGAGUGAUGUAGGGGAGACUGGAAUUCCUGGUGUAGCGGUGAAAUGCGCAGAUAUCAGGAGGAACACCGAUGGCGAAGGCAGGUCUCUGGGCAUUAACUGACGCUGAGGAGCGAAAGCAUGGGGAGCGAACAGGAUUA